UGCUACUCUUCUUCUGUAUUUUUGGAGAAUUCUUCUCAGGAACUGUAAAUCUUUACAUCCGUGUUGCACGAAGUUCAUCUUGCAGUCUUGUGAAAAGUGCAUCUGUGUUUUAAUAAUGGGCUCUCCAGGAGCCCAGUGCAUUGCUUUCUAAUUGCGUAUAACAUGCUGAAUAUUGUUUAGAUAUUGGCUGCUGGUAGGACAUAAAGUUGAACAGUUAAUGUAACUAAAUUGGGAAAAUUUUACAUAUUGGAGAGUCCGUUGGCCUAACUGUCAUAUCUAAAGGGAGACGUCAAUUACAAAAGUUUUUGGAAGUUACUUUUGCCUUUAAUAUUUUAUAUGCAAAAAGAUCUUUUAGGGAGAAUUCCAAUAAUCUUCUCCUCUUUACUGUAUGAAAAGAUUUAUGAAUAAGUUGCUAGAAAAUCCAAGGUUAAGCUCUUCAUUUGUGAAUUAAAUUAAAGUAGAUUCAGGUCCAUCAGAACUUUUCUCAACGUCAUUGUAAUAAUUGUCCUCCCCAAGUUGAUAAGGUGGUGCUCAAUCAUCUGGAAAAGGAAGAAGAGAUCUGGAGAAUGUCCAGCUUGAUUAUUCCAUCGAGCUCUUGGGCGUUUAAAUAAUGUUUAUGCUCGGUCGUAAAAAACGACGGAUGUAUAAUUAUAGGCAUGGAAAUUUCCCUAAUUAUCCUAAUUUGCAUACACAAUAUUCCGUAAUCUCCCUGCUUGAUAUAUAAAUAUUCUAUUUAAUUAAUGUGAAUUUUCCGAGCCCCUCCCUGAGUAAGUUGGAGUAGGCAUAUCAUUUGAUCCUAGUUUGUUGCAAAUGUAUUCAGUCUUGUAAUUUCAAAGUGAUUUUGUGAGAUCUUCCAAUUGAUCAUUUGAAUUAAUGAAAAUAGUAGCAAUUAUAAAUAUUUUACAGAGAAUCUAUUUCUAUGUGCUUUGUUUUUCACGUGAUACGAGAUUGAGUAAUAUAUAGUGCAGCCUGAUUGUCAAUAAAUCAGUUUCAGUAGAUCAUCUUUUCCACAUUUCUGUUUUCUGGAGAAGCUUGUAUAACCAUGUAAGUCUGCAUAUUGCUAAGACCAUGGAUCUAAAUGUAGACCUGUCUCUUUAUUUUUGAAAUAGAUGUAGACCUGUCUCUUUCAAUGUAUCCAAUGCACUUUUUCUUUGUUAAAUGACAAUUUUGUUGUAUUGUGCUACCCAGCGGCGGAUCUAGGAUUUCUAGAAUAUGGGCGCACCACUAGAAAAGGGAAAAAAGAAAGUAUUAAGUGGGAAUUGAUCCCUAUUCCUUUGGGUAACUAAGCAUUCAACCAAGUGCGCCAUUUUGCCUUUAUGGAGCAUAGGCCAACAGAAAACAUUAGAUCAAUUCUAGGAAAUAUGUACAUAUAUAUCUAAUUUUGUGGAGAGACCAUGGGUUCAUGCACUGUAAUUUGAGCCGAAAUUCGCCCUGGUGCUAGCUCAAUUCCAAGAAAGUAUUUCCGUUUUCGUUAGCCUUUAGUCUAGAAUUGACUAGUGAGAUGUGGUUUAAGUUGAGCAAUACACAUCUAUGAUUAUUUCUUGUUUUAACAAUGUUAUAAGCGUAAGAAAAUAGGUUUUCGCUGAGUAAAGCUUUGAAAACACUGAAUGAUCUACUUCACAUCAAAACGUGCUAAAUGUUGACAACAGUAUUUUUUUUUAAAAAACUGGUAAAUUAAGUUGACAACAUAGUUGUUAACCAUGCAUAUGACGAUUGGAUGAGAUCAUAAAAGGACCUACAUAGUUGACUCACUGAUCUAGGCCCUCAUGAGCAACAAACAACUCCCAUUGGCAACAAACGCUGGUGCUUGUUUCAUACAAAUUUCGUCAACAAGUUCUUCAUGGAUUUUUAUGUCCAACUAAAAAGGGAACAUGUGUGCCAUAUAAAUAAGAACCAACUAAUGCAAUUUUAGACGCCGGAGAGGAAAUUUCAUCAUAAUGAAGAUCAUAUAUUUGGUGUAUUCUUUGACAACAAAUAGAGCUUUAUGUCAGCCGACCUUCUGAUCUCGUCCCAGAUAGACUGUUCAACGUUCACACCAGUCACCACUCACCAUUAACAUCCUAUUAUAGAUUUACCUUGAGAUAAGUGAGUUAUCUCAUAGAUUUUUAUUAAAUAAAGAAACUUAUUUCAUAGGUACCAUCAUUAUGUAGAACAGUCAUUUUCCUUAAUCAUAAACUGACACCAUCGAAGAUUAACCUUUGCUUCUUCCAUAAACUUAUGUAGUGGAACGAUGGAUAUAUUUGUAACAAAAUUAUUUUAUGAAGUGACAAUUGUUGAUGACUCAUUUUUUUUUUGUUUUGCUUUUUGAUAACCGUGGUGUCCGGGCUAGCUUGCGCGCACCUCGACUAAUUCCACGGGAUACCCGCUACCUCCCACUAGCAACAGGUACCAAGUAAGUCGGUCCACCAAGGCUAUGGCAGAUAAAAAGAAAUCACCUAGUAUUUUGUCUCUGCUAGGAUUUGAACCUAAGACCUCAUGGUUCUCUUUAUUAACCAAUGACCACUAGGCCACACCCUUGGGGUGCUAAACUGCAUAUUGAGCAUGUGAUACUUUGAUAUGCAGGAUAUUGAGAUUUACAUGAAUCUUUCCAGUCGGUUUAACUGACUUUGUUGCAAGUACUUAAGUUUCCUUUACUCUACUCACUUGGCUCUUCACCAUCCUUUUAAUUGUUCUCUGUUCUCUGUUCUCUGUCUCUUUUUCUUGUUUAUAUGUGCUGUGUUACAUUUGGCCACGAGGGUUAGAUUCGAGAGUGGGUUGUCAACCAGGAAACUAAGAACCCCACAUUCAAAAUUCGUAAGGCUAGAGAGUGGUAGGUCUAUCAUAAAAAACUAGCUUUAUGUUGGUGUUUGGGUUGAUUCCAUUGGUUUGAGUUUCUAGCACUCUAUAGUAACUAGAUUGUUUGAGAUGGGGAUUUGGAACAGAAGUGUGCAGAUUAUUCAAAAACGGGGGAUUUCCCUCAAAUAAUUACUUAUAUGCCCCAUUUACCUUCUAUACUCAAACAUACGCCACAAUACUCACCAUUCCUAUUCUUCAUAUCAAUACUUAUUACUCACUAUUGAAGGCCCCAAAUGAAUAGCAGCUGUCAUUGAUUACUUUUGAGAGACCGUAUCUGCUUAUGCCUUAAAGUUUGUGUACAGUGUUUUAGCUUACCUUGUCAAAAAAAAAUUGUGUACGAUCUGGCCCCUUUCAUUGUCAAGAGAGCAAAGGAUAGACUUGAUAUUUUGACUUUAGAAGGCCACAUGUUCACUAUCGCAGAUUCUAUCGGGAGCUUUGAGAUCUCAUGUAUCAUAGGUUUAUGGGGAUUACUUCUUCUAUAUCCAUUGGAGCUAUUAUGUUUCUAUUGUGUUUUUGUUAGUCAUUUUGGAGGAUUCUGGGGGGUCAUGAAAGUACUUAUUGGCUUUGACUAGACAGAACAGGAGGCAAUUGAAGUUGAAAAUGGAUUAUGCAGAGGAAAUUUUCUGCAUUAGAGUUGGUGAGGGAGUGAGUGGAGUGAGGGA